AAACUUUCAACAACGGAUCUCUUGGUUCUGGCAUCGAUGAAGAACGCAGCGAAAUGCGAUAAGUAAUGUGAAUUGCAGAAUUCAGUGAAUCAUCGAAUCUUUGAACGCACAUUGCGCCCCUUGGUAUUCCGGGGGGCAUGCCUGUU
rnacentral:rRNA from 2 species